UACGGAGGGGGCAAGCGUUGUUCGGAAUUACUGGGCGUAAAGAGCGUGUAGGCGGCCAGAAAAGUCCGCUGUGAAAACUCGAGGCUCAACUUCGAGCUGUCGGUGGAAACUUUCUGGCUAGAGUCCGGAAGAGGAGAAUGGAAUUCCUGGUGUAGCGGUGAAAUGCGCAGAUAUCAGGAAGAACACCCGUGGCGAAGGCGGUUCUCUGGGACGGUACUGACGCUGGAGACGCGAAAGCGUGGGGAGCGAACAGG
rnacentral:rRNA from 1 species